ACCAUUUUAUUUUAUAAUGAGUAUUUUUUUAGUUGGGGCUAGUGCAGAACUGACCGAGAAAAUGUUUCAGUGAGAGAGAUGAAGGAGAAAGGGUUGAGAGGAAUGAAGGAGGUGAGUAAGAGUUUGAGGUUUUUUUUAGUUUUGAUAAUGAAAAUUAUUAAAAUAAGACAAAUGUUUCUGAUUUUUUUUCAAUUGGGGUCAGAGUAGGGAUUACAGAGAAAAAAUUUGGAGUAAAAGAGAUGAAAGAAAAAGAGUUGAAAAGAAUGAGGGGUGAGUAAGGGUUUGAGAGGUUUCUUUUUUUAUUUUUUUAUUUUUGAGAAUGAAAAUUAUUAAAAUAUCCUUAACCUUAAAACUUAGAAUUCAUGAUAUAAG
rnacentral:lncRNA from 1 species